GACGAACGCUGGCGGCGUGCUUAACACAUGCAAGUCGAACGGAAAGGCCCUGCUUUUGUUGGGUGCUCGAGUGGCGAACGGGUGAGUAACACGUGAGUAACCUGUCCUUGUCUUUCUGAUAACUUCAGGAAACUGGGGCUAAUAUCGGAUAUGAGCUCCUGCUGCAUGGUGGUGGUUGGAAAGUGUCGGCGGUUCGGGAUGGACUCGCUGCUUAUCAGCUUGUUUGGGUGGUAGUGGCUUACCAAGUCUUCGACGGAUAGCCGACCUGAGCGGGUGAACGGCCACAUGGGGACUAAGAUACGGACCAGACUCCUACGGGAGGCAACAGUCGAGAGUCUUGCGCAGUGGGCGGAAGCCUGAGACGGCAGCGCCGCGUGCGUGAUAACGGCCUUCGAGUUGUAAACCGCUUUCGCAUGUGACGAAGCGAGAGUGACGGUAAUGAGUAAGAAAGCAACGGCUAACUACGUG
rnacentral:rRNA from 1 species